ACGGAAGGCAGCAGUAGGGAAUCUUCCACAAUGGGCGAAAGCCUGAUGGAGCAACGCCGCGUGUGUGAUGAAGGGUUUCGGCUCGUAAAACACUGUUGUAAGAGAAGAAUGACAUUGAGAGUAACUGUUCAAUGCGUGACGUUAUUUUACCAGAAAGGAACGGCUAAAUACGUGCCAGCAGCCGCGGUAAGACGUAUGUUCCAAGCGUUAUCCGGAUUUAUUGGGCGUAAAGCGAGCGCAGACGGUUAUUUAAGUCUGAAGUGAAAGCCCUCAGCUCAACUGAGGAAUUGCUUUGGAAACUGGAUGACUUGAGUGCAGUAGAGGAAAGUGGAACUCCAUGUGUAGCGGUGAAAUGCGUAGAUAUAUGGAAGAACACCAGUGGCGAAGGCGGCUUUCUGGACUGUAACUGACGUUGAGGCUCGAAAGUGUGGUUAGCAAACAGGAUUAGAUACCCUGGUA
rnacentral:rRNA from 1 species